AGUGACCAUAGACACUAUCCCAGCCAAAAAUUUGUAAAGUAUAUCUAAUUUUCUGAAGCAUUGUCUCAUCACCAGUGUUGGAUGUGAGGAUGGGUAACAUUUGGCUCCCUAUGAUUUCCCAGUCUUCUUCUCAGCUGUGGAAAAGCCGAAGAACAAAAGCCUGUCCUCAAUGUGUCUCCAUCAUGGCUUACUCGUGGAGCUCCAGUAAAUCUGAGCUGUAAAGCUGAAGGAGUGAAUUCAGGAUGGAAGUUCUUUUGGUAUAAAGCGGUUCCUGAUCUGUCACACAAGAACUACAGUUAUAGUCUUCUGCCUAA